AUUGAAUGCUGGCGGAAUGCUUUACACAUGCAAGUCGAACGGUAGAGGGGGCAACCCCUCGAGAGUGGCGAACGGGUGAGUAAUAUAUCGGAACGUGCCCAGUCGUGGGGGAUAACGUAGCGAAAGUUACGCUAAUACCGCAUACGAUCUAAGUAUGAAAGCGGGGGAUCGCAAGACCUCGCGCGAUUGGAGCGGCCGAUAUCAGAUUAGGUAGUUGGUGGGGUAAAGGCUCACCAAGCCAACGAUCUGUAGCUGGUCUGAGAGGACGCCCAUCCACACCGGAACUGAGACACGGUCCAGACUCCUACGGGAGGGAGCAGUGGGGAAUUUUGGACAAUGGACGCAAGUCUGAUCCAGCCAGUCCGCGUGCAGGAUGAAGUCCCUCGGGUUGUAAACUGCUUUUGUACGGAACGAAAAGGUCUCUCUUAAUACGGGGGGCUCAUGACGGUACCGUAAGAAUAAGCACCGGCUAACUACGUGCCAGCCGCCGCGGUAA
rnacentral:rRNA from 1 species